rnacentral:lncRNA from 1 species
AGUGGGGCUACUUACUGAAAUGCAAAAGACCAAGUUGGACAGGAGAGUUUAUGUCUUUAAAUCUGUUUUCUGAAACCAGACACAGACACAACCACAACAACAAAAAAAAACUACAGGAUAAAUUAUGAGCUUGGGAGAAAAAAAUGCCCAUGGAUAAUAAAUCUGAUAAAACUGAAGUACCAAAGUACUGACCUCAUACUGAAACUCUGUUGGGCAUAGUCUUACAGCCUUUGGAAAUGUCACAACAAGGUUCUUGAAAAGUAACUCUUCAUACAGCUGUGAGCUCUGUGAUUGCUAUGUUUGAAGCCACAUGAAGGCUCUAUAUGGGAUGUGGUAGAGCCUUCCAAGAGAAAG